rnacentral:rRNA from 1 species
UCGUUUAGUGAUAAGUCUGUUAAUUCAGUAUAACGGGCGCAAUCUUAAUCACAUAAAACUGUGGAAUUGUGAGACAGUCGGUGUAAGGAUAAUUCCUGAAAUCCAAAGGAAGGGUAAGGCGAGAAUA